UACGUAGGGGGCUAGCGUUGUCCGGAAUCAUUGGGCGUAAAGCGCGUGUAGGCGGUUCAGUAAGUCUGCUGUGAAAGUCCAGGGCUCAACCCUGGGAUGCCGGUGGAUACUGCUGGGCUAGAGUACGGAAGAGGCGAGUGGAAUUCCCGGUGUAGCGGUGAAAUGCGCAGAUAUCGGGAGGAACACCAAUUGCGAAGGCAGCUCGCUGGGACGUUACUGACGCUGAGACGCGAAAGCGUGGGGAGCAAACAGG
rnacentral:rRNA from 1 species